rnacentral:lncRNA from 1 species
ACAAAGUCCUUACCGAGAAGUACGAGUUCAGUGAGCAAGAUGCAAAUGAACUGAGUGACUUUCUUGUUUCGAUUCUUGAUUUCGUACCCGAGAAACGACCAACUGCGGCUCAGUGUCUUUUGCAUCCUUGGAUCAACUCUGUCCCUCGCUCUCUAGAACCGUCUCUCUCACCUCAAGACCAGAACCCGGAAGAGAAGCUGGAUACAGAGAGAAAGAAGAGAGAGAAGGAGGAGCAAGAAGCUGUGGUAGUUAAAAUGGGAAACGUUGCCAUAUCAUCCCCAAAGUCCAAACCAGGUAUGAGCAAAAGCUCCUCUUAUAAACAAGCAAUUUGAUUUUGAGCGAAAGGGGAAAUGUGAUAAUUAAAACUCGCCACUGUGCUAGUGAGAGAGCUCAAGUCAGAACCACUUCAAGCUGUUUACUAGUGAGCUCUCAACAUUUUCAUAUGCGCAGUUGUAAUAUCUUGUAUGUGUACUUUUACGAAUCCAAAUAUAUUGACAUUCAACAUGUAUUUUGACUGAAUAUAUAAUAUUUCAUUCAUGAAAUCACACUUGACGCCAAUGAAAUUAGUAACAGUCUUACAUUUUUACCCGGUUAAAGACAGAAGCUGUUUAUUACAAAUCAAGAUUAACACACACAAGUCAAGCAGAGAACCGUGAAGCGCGGAUUGUUUUGUUUUGACCACAGCUUCCCUUUUUCUUCCUCGCUGACUUUCCCCGUCUCCGCGUGAACUUAACAUAAACUCUUUUAUAUAAAAACUAGUCCUAUUUGAGAAGUUGAGUCUCUCUCAUUCACAUACAAGAGAGAAAAACAAAACACGUCUCGGUAACAUGAUAAGCGUUCCAGUGUCACUUAACGCCGCCGUCAGACUAGGCAUCGCCGACGCUAUCUGGAACUCCGGAGCCAACUCUCCUCUCUCCGUCUCCGAGAUCCUCCCUCGCCUCCUUGUCCCAUCCCGAGAAUCUCCAGCGUAUACUUGUAUACUUCGUACAGUCCCGGCUCUAACCUAUGGCCACAUUGGCAAUUGCCCAUGGUGCAUAGGUCCAAACAAAAUUUUAGUGUUAUUUUACUAAUUAGAAAAGUUCAUUUUAAUUUGUUAAAUUAUCAAUUAGUCGGUAAAGUUAUAACAAAAAGGCCCAUAAUUAACAAAACCAAUUUUAAAUUAAAAAAGACAAUAGUUUUUAAAUCACGGGGUGGUGGGCUAGUGGUCUUGAGGUAGUUAAAAACAUCAAUACGGACCCGAGUUCGAAUACCCCAUGUGGCCACAUAAUGCUUUACGCCCUCCCUAAGUUUAAAGUUAAUUGCGGCAUUGGUGCCGGAUCCUUGGGUAAUGGGUAUUAGUGUCGACUGGUUCCGGGCCAGGGGGAUUAGAUGGUUGGCAAUCAGAAACCACGUGCGGAUUACGGGCCUUUGGGCAAACGGAAACCACGUGCGGAUUACGGGUCACCUUUGAAACUCCUGUUAAAAAAAAAAAGUUUUUAAAAAACUUCUCCGUUCUUAAUUUUUCUUACAACAAAACCUAAUUUACACUUAAAUGCCCAUUUUUUUCUUUUAAUACUCCUUCAAGAACGGCCGGUACGUUGUCCAGAGCAAACUCGGCUGGGGCCAUUUCUCCACCGUCUGGCUCUCCUGGGACACUCUAUCCUCUGUACGCACACUCUCUCUCUCUCUCUCUCUCGCACCAAUCUUCAUACAAAUCACUUUAACCUAAUAUCAAUGAUCAUGAAAUUGCUAGGCCGCGUAGUUAGGCGUAUGAGAUUAUUGAUCAGGCGUUUAGGUCCGGUUUGUCACCUAGGCGUCGGUUCGAUUUGAUGUUAAUUAGAUGAACCAAAACCAUUGUUAGUUACUUUAAUUAUGUAAUUGUCUUUACUCUUUAUCGAUGCAACAGAGAUAUGUGGCGUUGAAGGUGCAAAAGAGCGCACAGCACUAUACCGAAGCUGCCAUGGAUGAGAUAACUAUAUUGCAACAGAUUGCUGAAGGUGACGCUGAUGAUACCAAGUGUGUUGUGAAGCUUUUGGAUCAUUUCAAACACUCUGGCCCCAAUGGGCAGCAUGUAUGUAUGGUUUUCGAGUACUUGGGAGAUAACUUAUUGACGCUUAUAAAGUAUUCUGACUACCGGGGCUUGCCUAUUCCCAUGGUUAAGGAGAUUUGUUACCACAUGUUGGUUGGUUUGGACUACUUGCAUAAAGAGCUCUCGAUUAUACACACUGAUCUCAAGCCUGAGAAUGUGUUGUUAGUGUCGAGGAUCGAUCCGUCUAAAGAUCCUAGGAAGUCUGGAGCUCCUCUUAUUAUUGCUAGUGGUAAGGAGAAGAUUGUUGACUCCAAUGGAGACUUCGUUAAGAAUCAUAAGAAAGAUGUUCAUAGAAAGGUGAAGCGUUCGGUUAAUGGAAAACUAAGUGCUGCUGCAGAAGAAGACUGUCCUUCUACCUCUAAUGGCUGCGAGGAAGGGGAGCAAGGAGGUAAGAAAGGGAGUCGAUCGAGUAGAAGGCACCUUGUAGAAUCUGCUGAUCUCAAGUGUAAGCUAGUUGACUUUGGUAACGCUUGUUGGACUUAUAAACAGUUCACAAGUGAUAUUCAGACGAGGCAGUAUAGGUGUCCUGAAGUAAUCCUUGGAUCUAAGUAUUCUACCUCGGCAGAUCUCUGGUCAUUCGCGUGUAUAUGCUUUGAACUUGCCACUGGUGAUGUACUCUUUGAUCCCCAUAGUGGAGACAAUUAUGAUAGAGAUGAGGUAAUGCUUAAGAUCUCUAGUUAGUCACGUGCAUAUAUGUAUGCGAAGCUAAUUUGCUUUUGUGUGACUAACAGGACCACUUGGCUUUGAUGAUGGAGCUUCUUGGGAUGAUGCCACGCAAGGUAAAUAGAAUCAUUACCAGGCUAUACCCUUCAAGGCCGUCUUAAACUCCAACUUCUUCCUCUAUUUGUGUGUGUUUGCAGAUAGCUUUAGGAGGCCGCUACUCAAGAGAUUUGUUCAACAGGCAUGGUGAUCUUCGACACAUAAGAAGACUUCGUUUCUGGCCUAUGAACAAAGUCCUUACCGAGAAGUACGAGUUCAGUGAGCAAGAUGCAAAUGAACUGAGUGACUUUCUUGUUUCGAUUCUUGAUUUCGUACCCGAGAAACGACCAACUGCGGCUCAGUGUCUUUUGCAUCCUUGGAUCAACUCUGUCCCUCGCUCUCUAGAACCGUCUCUCUCACCUCAAGACCAGAACCCGGAAGAGAAGCUGGAUACAGAGAGAAAGAAGAGAGAGAAGGAGGAGCAAGAAGCUAUGGUAGUUAAAAUGGGAAACGUUGCCAUAUCAUCCCCAAAGUCCAAACCAGGUAUGAGCAAAAGCUCCU